rnacentral:rRNA from 1 species
CCUACGGGGGGCUGCAGUGGGGAAUCAUGGUCAAUGGGCGAAAGCCUGAACCUGCGACGCCGCGUGAGUGAUGAAGGUCGUAAGAUCGUAAAACUCUUUUCAGGGAUCUUAAAGGCAGCGCUCUAACAUAGCGUCUGCUGUGACUAUCCCUGGAAUAAGCCCCAGCCAACUACGUGCCAGCAGCUGCGGUAAUACGUAGGGGGCGAGCGUUAUUCGGAAUUACUGGGUGUAAAGGGUAUGUAGGCGGCCUGACAAGUCGCGUGUCAAAGUCCAGCGCUCAACGCUGGGUUCGCACGCGAUACUGUCAGGCUUGAGGACUGGAGAGGUGAGCGGAAUUCCCGGUGUAGUGGUAAAAUACGUAGAUAUCGGGAGGAACACCAGCGGCGUAGGCGGCUCACUAGACAGUUUCUGACGCUAAGAUACGAAAGCGUGGGGAGCAAACAGGAUUAGAUACCCGAGUAGUC